rnacentral:rRNA from 1 species
GGGUUGUGAGGUUAAGCGACUAAGCGUACACGGUGGAUGCCCUGGCAGUCAGAGGCGAUGAAGGACGUGCUAAUCUGCGAAAAGCGUCGGUAAGGUGAUAUGAACCGUUAUAACCGGCGAUGUCCGAAUGGGGAAACCCAGUGCAAUUCGUUGCACUAUCGUUAACUGAAUACAUAGGUUAACGAGGCGAACCGGGGGAACUGAAACAUCUAAGUACCCCGAGGAAAAGAAAUCAACCGAGAUUCCCCCAGUAGCGGCGAGCGAACGGGGAGCAGCCCAGAGUCUGAAUCAGCUUGUGUGUUAGUGGAACGGUCUGGAAAGUCCGACGGUACAGGGUGAUAGUCCCGUACACCAAAAUGCACAGGUUGUGAACUCGAAGAGUAGGGCGGGACACGUGGUAUCCUGUCUGAAUAUGGGGGGACCAUCCUCCAAGGCUAAAUACUCCUGACUGACCGAUAGUGAACCAGUACCGUGAGGGAAAGGCGAAAAGAACCCCGGCGAGGGGAGUGAAAAAGAACCUGAAACCGUGUACGUACAAGCAGUGGGAGCACCUUCGGGUGUGACUGCGUACCUUUUGUAUAAUGGGUCAGCGACUUAUAUUCUGUAGCAAGGUUAACCGUAUAGGGGAGCCGCAGGGAAACCGAGUCUUAACUGGGCGUUAAGUUGCAGGGUAUAGACCCGAAACCCGGUGAUCUAGCCAUGGGCAGGUUGAAGGUUGGGUAACACUAACUGGAGGACCGAACCGACUAAUGUUGAAAAAUUAGCGGAUGACUUGUGGCUGGGGGUGAAAGGCCAAUCAAACCGGGAGAUAGCUGGUUCUCCCCGAAAGCUAUUUAGGUAGCGCCUCGUGAAUUCAUCUUCGGGGGUAGAGCACUGUUUCGGCUAGGGGGUCAUCCCGACUUACCAACCCGAUGCAAACUACGAAUACCGAAGAAUGUUAUCACGGGAGACACACGGCGGGUGCUAACGUCCGUCGUGAAGAGGGAAACAACCCAGACCGCCAGCUAAGGUCCCAAAGUCAUGGUUAAGUGGGAAACGAUGUGGGAAGGCACAGACAGCCAGGAUGUUGGCUUAGAAGCAGCCAUCAUUUAAAGAAAGCGUAAUAGCUCACUGGUCGAGUCGGCCUGCGCGGAAGAUGUAACGGGGCUAAACCAUGCACCGAAGCUGCGGCAGCGACACUAUGUGUUGUUGGGUAGGGGAGCGUUCUGUAAGCCUGCGAAGGUGUGCUGUGAGGCAUGCUGGAGGUAUCAGAAGUGCGAAUGCUGACAUAAGUAACGAUAAAGCGGGUGAAAAGCCCGCUCGCCGGAAGACCAAGGGUUCCUGUCCAACGUUAAUCGGGGCAGGGUGAGUCGACCCCUAAGACGAGGCCGAAAGGCGUAGUCGAUGGGAAACAGGUUAAUAUUCCUGUACUUGGUGUUACUGCGAAGGGGGGACGGAGAAGGCUAUGUUAGCCGGGCGACGGUUGUCCCGGUUUAAGCAUGUAGGCUGGUUGUCCAGGCAAAUCCGGAUAAUCAAGGCUGAGGUGUGAUGACGAGGCACUACGGUGCUGAAGUAACAAAUGCCCUGCUUCCAGGAAAAGCCUCUAAGCAUCAGGUAACAUUAAAUCGUACCCCAAACCGACACAGGUGGUCAGGUAGAGAAUACCAAGGCGCUUGAGAGAACUCGGGUGAAGGAACUAGGCAAAAUGGUGCCGUAACUUCGGGAGAAGGCACGCUGGUGUGUAGGUGAAGUCCCUGCGGAUGGAGCUGAGACCAGUCGAAGAUACCAGCUGGCUGCAACUGUUUAUUAAAAACACAGCACUGUGCAAACACGAAAGUGGACGUAUACGGUGUGACGCCUGCCCGGUGCCGGAAGGUUAAUUGAUGGGGUUAUCCGUAAGGAGAAGCUCUUGAUCGAAGCCCCGGUAAACGGCGGCCGUAACUAUAACGGUCCUAAGGUAGCGAAAUUCCUUGUCGGGUAAGUUCCGACCUGCACGAAUGGCGUAAUGAUGGCCAGGCUGUCUCCACCCGAGACUCAGUGAAAUUGAACUCGCUGUGAAGAUGCAGUGUACCCGCGGCAAGACGGAAAGACCCCGUGAACCUUUACUAUAGCUUGACACUGAACAUUGAGCCUUGAUGUGUAGGAUAGGUGGGAGGCUUUGAAGCGUGGACGCCAGUCUGCGUGGAGCCAACCUUGAAAUACCACCCUUUAAUGUUUGAUGUUCUAACGUUGGCCCCUUACCGGGGUUGCGGACAGUGUCUGGUGGGUAGUUUGACUGGGGCGGUCUCCUCCCAAAGCGUAACGGAGGAGCACGAAGGUUAGCUAAUCCUGGUCGGACAUCAGGAGGUUAGUGCAAUGGCAUAAGCUAGCUUGACUGCGAGCGUGACGGCGCGAGCAGGUGCGAAAGCAGGUCAUAGUGAUCCGGUGGUUCUGAAUGGAAGGGCCAUCGCUCAACGGAUAAAAGGUACUCCGGGGAUAACAGGCUGAUACCGCCCAAGAGUUCAUAUCGACGGCGGUGUUUGGCACCUCGAUGUCGGCUCAUCACAUCCUGGGGCUGAAGUAGGUCCCAAGGGUAUGGCUGUUCGCCAUUUAAAGUGGUACGCGAGCUGGGUUUAGAACGUCGUGAGACAGUUCGGUCCCUAUCUGCCGUGGGCGCUGGAGAAUUGAGGGGGGCUGCUCCUAGUACGAGAGGACCGGAGUGGACGCAUCACUGGUGUUCGGGUUGUCAUGCCAAUGGCACUGCCCGGUAGCUAAAUGCGGAAGAGAUAAGUGCUGAAAGCAUCUAAGCACGAAACUUGCCCCGAGAUGAGUUCUCCCUGAGACUUUAAGUCUCCUGAAGGAACGUUGAAGACGACGACGUUGAUAGGCCGGGUGUGUAAGCGCAGCGAUGCGUUGAGCUAACCGGUACUAAUGAACCGUGAGGCUUAACCUUACAACGCCGAAG